rnacentral:rRNA from 1 species
GGGCCCCCCCGAAAUGUACCAAAUUUAAAGGGAGAAACCUAACUAGCCUUUACAUGUUGAGAAAUAACGAAAAAUAGAUUUGUUGGCUGAGAACACCAACACAAGAGGUGCGGGGCUGGAACACCCGGUGAGAUGUUGGUGGAAGCCAACAAGAGCAACCCGUUUUUUUUAGUGCGUAAUGGAGGGAACUAUGGAAAGCGCCGGUAACAAAACGAGAGGAAGGUGGGGAUGACGCACAAUGGCCCUUACGGGCAGGGCUACACACGUACUACAAUGGUAAGGACAGAGGGCUGCAAGCCGGCGACGGGAAGCCAACCAGAAACCCUAAGCGGAUUGGAGUGCAACGACCAUGAAGGAAAACUAUAACAAGCAUUGCUGCAGUGAAUACCUCCCGGCUGCACACACCG